rnacentral:lncRNA from 1 species
GGGGUUUGGGCUUCGGUUCCGGCGACAUGGCUAAACGCACCAAGAAGGUCGGGAUCGUCGGAAAAUACGGGACCUGCUAUGGUGCCUCCCUCCGGAAAAUGGUGAAGAAAAUUGAAAUCAGCCAGCACGCCAAGUACACUUGCUCCUUCUGUGGCAAGACCAAGAUGAAGAGACGAGCCGUUGGCAUCUGGCAUUGUGGUUCUUGAAUGAAAACAGUGGCCGGUGGGGCCUGGACCUACAAUACCACUUCUGCAGUCACAGGGAAGUCUGCCAUCAGAAGACUGAAGGAACUGAAGGACCAGUAGAAGCCUGCCUUCUGAGACUUGCCUGGUCUGCAAUAAAUGGGCUAAUUUACAGAACAAAAAAAAAAAAAAA